rnacentral:tRNA from 1 species
GCGACCUUCGUAUAGUGGCAAUACCCGAGCUUCCCAAGCUCGAGACGCGAGUUCGAUUCUCGCAGGUCGCUCCA